rnacentral:rRNA from 1 species
AUGAACUCUUCUAAGGUAAUCUCGUUAGAGCACCUCUCAUUGCCUAACAAUAGGUUAGAAGGAGCUCUUGAUGGCAUCAGCAAGCUCACAAAUCUGGUCACCCUUGAUCUUGGGGGGAAUGAGCUCAGCGGCAAUAUUCCAGAGUCUAUAGGUGAUGUGAAGAGAUUGGAGGAGCUGCAUUUGGAACACAACAACAUGUCAGGGGAGCUGCCAGCAGCUCUAAGCAACUGCACAAAUCUUGUAACAAUUGACCUCCAGGCAAACCAAUUUAGCGUAGAACUUACCAAGGUCAACUUCGUAAGUCUGUCCAAUCUAAAAAAACUAGAUCUUCUUUCCAAUAACUUCACCGGCACAGUUCCAGAAAGCAUAUACUCCUGCAGCAAGCUGACUGCACUACGGCUAUCUUACAAUCCUUUCCAUGGUCAAUUGUCAGAAGAAAUAGGCAAUCUGAAGUCCCUGUCAUUCCUAUCACUUGCUAAUAACUCUCUUACAAAUAUCACAAGAACAAUUCGGAUCCUAAGCAGUUCCAGGAGCCUCACCACCCUUUAUCUUGGGUUCAACUUCCUGCAUGAGACCAUGCCAGAGGAUGUCAACAUUGAUGGUUUCAAGAAUCUCCAGGUUCUUUAUAUAAAUCAUUGUUCAUUGUCUGGAAAAAUACCUGAUUGGUUAUCGAAGCUACCGAAUUUGGGGAUGCUAUUUUUGCAAGGCAAUAAACUAACUGGGCCCAUACCUGAAUGGAUCAGCAGCCUAAAAUUUCUCUUCUCUCUAGAUAUAUCAAACAACAGCCUUACAGGGGAAAUUCCAAGUGCUUUAAUGGAGAUGCCAAUGCUAGAAUCAGAUAGUACUGCACCAAAGGUAUUCUUUGAGCUGCCUGUUUGGAACAAGAACCAAUUUCUGCAAUACCUCACGCCUAGUGCUUUUCCUAAAGAGCUUAAUCUAGCCAUGAAUAAUUUCACUGGUAUGAUUCCGGAGGAGAUCGGUCAGUUACAAGGACUAUUUUCACUUAACUUGAGCUCCAACAGAUUAUCUGGAGAGAUACCAGAACAGAUCUGCAACCUCACGAACCUGCAGAUGCUCGACUUGUCCGGUAAUCAUCUCACUGGUAAGAUUCCAGCUGCAUUGAACAAUCUGCACUUCCUUUCCAGAUUCAACAUUUCUAAUAAUGACCUGGAAGGCACUAUUCCAAACGCGGGCCAGUUUAGCACAUUUCCGGAUUCUAGCUUUGGUGGAAACCCCAAACUGUGUGGCUCUAUGGUUGCAAACCAUUGUGGUUCGGCAAAAGCAAGUUCAGUUUCCAUUGACCCCAUAAAACAGAUUGGUAGUGAGGCCAUCAUCUUUAUGACCGCCUUCUGUGUUUUCUUUGUAGUAGGAGUCCUAUAUGAUCAGAAAGUCUUAGCUAGACAUUUUGGCUAA